rnacentral:rRNA from 1 species
GAUGAACGCUAGCGAUAGGCUUAACACAUGCAAGUCGAGGGGCAGCACAAGGUAGCUUGCUAUCUGGGUGGCGACCGGCGCACGGGUGCGUAACGCGUAUGCAACUUGCCCUAUACAGGAGGAUAACCCGUCGAAAGACGGACUAAUACUGCGUAUGCUCACAACUUGGCAUCAAGUGGUGAGGAAAGAAAUUCGGUAUAGGAUAGGCAUGCGUCCCAUUAGCUUGUUGGUGAGGUAACGGCUCACCAAGGCAACGAUGGGUAGGGGAACUGAGAGGUUUAUCCCCCACACUGGUACUGAGACACGGACCAGACUCCUACGGGAGGCAGCAGUGAGGAAUAGUGGUCAAGGGGCGCGAGCCUGAACCAGCCAAGUCGCGUGAAGGAUGACUGUCUUAUGGAUCGUAAACUUCUUUUAUACGGGAAUAACAAGAGUCACGUGUGACUCCCUGCAGGUACCGUAUGAAUAAGCAUCGGCUAACUCCGUG